rnacentral:tRNA from 1 species
GCCUUCGUGGUGUAGUGGAUAACACGACCGCCUUAUAAUCGGUAGACUCGGGUUCGAUCCCCGACGGAGGCU